UUUCUUGUAUUUCUCUCUUUCUCCUCUUUCUCUCUUUGGCGUCUCUUUCUCUCUUUCUAUUUUUCUGGUAAAUCAAUUCUUUUAUACAGAUCUCAAACCUUAAUUCUCUCUUCUUCAUCAUGUUUGAUUUCGUGGGUAUUAUCUCAAUUUAGGGAUUUUGAUGUUCUGAUUUGGGAAUUUAGGUUUCUUCAAUUUCGUGGUCCUGUGAUUGCUCUUACAGUAAAUUGGUCUUGUGAGGAAUCCUGCCUGUCGACUGUUUUCGGUUUGGUGAUGAGGUACUUGAGGAGGGAACAGCUGAGUCUGCGUUCGCUAGCUUUCUUCUUAUCUCAACCUAUCAACGACGUGUUUGCAGAUCAUUGCGUGAGGUUUAUUAAGAUAAUUAACUAAGUUAAUAGCAUGUUGAUAUAAAGUUAGGAUCUUUAGUGUUUAUGUUGGUAGUGUUGAUACUUCUUAUGUGGAAGAAGAACCAUUACUACCUUUUUAUACUCUCUCAGAAGAAUACUUUGUAGAAUCACACUUGAGAAAGUCUUUAAACUCAAACGAGAGUUCUUUGAAUUCUUCAGAGGUUCCUAGGCUAGCUUAUCUGAUCUCAGGUACUAAAGGAGAUAGCCGCAGGAUGAUGAGGACUUUGCAAGCUGUGUACCAUCCAAGAAACCAAUAUGUUCUCCAUUUAGACCUCGAAGCUCCACCUAAGGAGAGGCUGGAGCUUGCAAUGUCUGUGAAGAGUGAUCCUACUUUCCGUGAAGUUGCAAACGUCCGUGUUAUGUCACAGUCUAAUCUCGUUACCUAUAAAGGCCCUACAAUGAUCGCUUGUACGCUUCAAGCUGUGGCGGUUUUGCUUAAGGAGAGCUUGGAUUGGGAUUGGUUCAUCAACCUUAGUGCAUCAGAAUAUUAGACUAUCCUCUCCUGACACAAGAUGAUUUGUUGUAUGUCUUCUCCAACUUGUCUCUGAAUGUUAACUUCAUUGAACAUAUGAAGCGCACCGAAAUGUUAAAUUCAUGAUAUAAAUUUGUAUUUCUAUUUUUCAUAUGUUUUUAUGUCAUA